rnacentral:rRNA from 1 species
AGGACGAACACUGGCGGCGUGCCUAAUACAUGCAAGUCGAACGGUCUUUCUAUGGAAGCUUGCUUCCGCUGAGAAGAUAGUGGCGAACGGGUGAGUAACACGUGGGUAACCUGCCCAUAAGAGGGGGAUAACAUCCGGAAACGGGUGCUAAUACCGCAUAGUUUUCUUGAUCGCAUGAUCGGGAAAGGAAAGACGGCCUUUGUGCUGUCGCUUAUGGAUGGACCCGCGGCGUAUUAGUUAGUUGGUGAGGUAACGGCUCACCAAGACGAUGAUACGUAGCCGACCUGAGAGGGUGAUCGGCCACAUUGGGACUGAGACACGGCCCAAACUCCUACGGGAGGCAGCAGUAGGGAAUCUUCCGCAAUGGACGAAAGUCUGACGGAGCAACGCCGCGUGAGUGAAGAAAAGGUUUUCGGAUCGUAAAACUCUGUUGUCAGAGAAGAACAAGUUGGAGAGUAACUGCUCCAGCCUUGACGGUAUCUGACCAGAAAGCCACGGCUAACUACGUGCCAGCCGCCGC